CAGCCGCCACGGGAAUACAGAGGGUGCAAGCGUUAAUCGGAAUUACUGGGCGUAAAGCGCGCGUAGGUGGUUUGUUAAGUUGGAUGUGAAAGCCCCGGGCUCAACCUGGGAACUGCAUCCAAAACUGGCAAGCUAGAGUACGGUAGAGGGUGGUGGAAUUUCCUGUGUAGCGGUGAAAUGCGUAGAUAUAGGAAGGAACACCAGUGGCGAAGGCGACCACCUGGACUGAUACUGACACUGAGGUGCGAAAGCGUGGGGAGCAAACAGGAUUAGAUACCCGCGUAGUCCCUGUCUCUUAUAA
rnacentral:rRNA from 1 species